rnacentral:rRNA from 1 species
UGGGGAAUAUUGGACAAUGGGCGCAAGCCUGAUCCAGCCAUGCCGCGUGAAGGAUGAAGUAUUUCGGUAUGUAAACUUCGAAAGAAUAGGAAGAAUAAAUGACGGUACUAUUUAUAAGGUCCGGCUAACUACGUGCCAGCAGCCGCGGUAAUACGUAGGGACCAAGCGUUGUUCGGAUUUACUGGGCGUAAAGGGCGCGUAGGCGGCAAUUCAAGUCAUCUGUGAAAUCUCCGGGCUUAACUCGGAACGGUCAGAUGAUACUGCUUUGCUAGAGUGCAGAAGGGGCAAUCGGAAUUCUUGGUGUAGCGGUGAAAUGCGUAGAUAUCAAGAGGAACACCUGAGGUGAAGACGGGUUGCUGGGCUGACACUGACGCUGAGGCGCGAAAGCCAGGGGAGCAAACGGGAUUAGAUACCCACGUAGUCCCUGAGCGGGC